CCUACGGGGGGCUGCAGUCGAGAAUUUUUCACAAUGGGCGAAAGCCUGAUGGAGCGACGCCGCGUGGGGGAUGAAGGGCUUCGGCUCGUAAACCCCUGUCAUUCGAGAACAAACCCUACGAUUUAACAGAUCGUGGGCUGAUAGUAUCGGAAGAGGAAGGGACGGCUAACUCUGUGCCAGCAGCCGCGGUAAUACAGAGGUCCCAAGCGUUGUUCGGAUUUACUGGGCGUAAAGGGUGCGUAGGCGGCGAGGAAAGUUUGAGGUGAAAUCUCCAG
rnacentral:rRNA from 1 species